UUUUUGUGGAAGGUGACCACGAAAACCCCCUUCCUCUACCCGAGUUUCACGCUCUGCCAGAAUAACCACGAAAGCAGGCGGAAGAAGCAGUCCACAGAUAACCUACCCGAGGACGACCAGGCACCACCAAGCACUGCAGCCGAGCACCAGGACCCCGUCCAGGUUUACUGAGGUCUGACUUACAUCAGCAAUUAUCUGCAGAGUGUGAGGAGUUUCGGCAAAGAUACACCACAACUAAGACGCAGAGAAUCUCCUCCACUCUCAAAAGUUCCCUCCUUCCCCGGUGCCCACCUCCGGACAGCCGCUAAUCUGUGUUCUGUCCUGUGGUUCACCUUUCCCAGACCGUCACCUACAUGAGACCACAGAGGACACAGCCUCUGCACCCAGCAAGACGCUUCGAGAUGUGUCCAGGUUGUGGCCUGUGUCAGCACGAAGUUCUCUUUGCCUGGCUGAGUAGUGCUCCACUGUGUGGAUACACCACGGUUCACCCGUGACCAUUUAUCGAACGGACUUGUGGGUUAGUUCCUUGUUUUUGACUGCUAUGAGUAAAGCCGGUUAUCGACUUUU